rnacentral:rRNA from 1 species
UACGUAGGGACCAAGCGUUGUCCGGAAUCAUUGGGCGUAAAGCGCGCGUAGGUGGCCAUUUAAGUCCGCUGUGAAAGUCAGAGGCUCAACCUUUGAAAGCCGCUGGAUACUGGAUGGCUAGAGUACGGAAGAGGCGAGUGGAAUUCCUGGUGUAGCGGUGGAAUGCGCAGAUAUCAGGAGGAACACCCGUGGCGAAGGCGGCCAUCUGGACCAGUACUGACGCUGAGGCACGAAAGCGUGGGGAGCAAACAGG